rnacentral:ncRNA from 1 species
AUCAUUCGUGAGGCGAGAUGAUCGUUUCAUACCUCCCUGUUGGACUUCGCCGGGCCUCGUGCCCGGCUUUUCUU